AAUAUAAGAGUUUCUAUUCUGUUAACCAAAAUUCAGCAAAACAGGCAAAUGUAUAUUUGAAAUGGCUAAAGGAUAUUCCUGUUUUCUCCAGAGAAAUCUCGGUAUUAGACCACUUAAAUGGAGCAAUAAAAAGCUAAUAUUUGUUUUUUAGCUUCGAAAUAAAAUUUCAUAUGUUGUGUUUCUAUUUAUACUUGAAAGGUUCUUCCCACAAACACUUUUGAAGGAGAAAUGGAACUAUUUAAUCGCUUGUUAGAUAAUGGAGUGGCCCUUUAUCCAGGGGCGUGGUUCGUCUGUGCCGAGCCUGGCUGGUUUAGACUGGUAUUCGCCAUGGAGUCAGAAAUUCUUCAAUUAGGGCUCAGUAGAAUUCAGCAAACCGUGAGGCAAGCCCGCCCCGAUAUUGCGUCGAGGUCGGAGGAGAAGCUCUUGAAACAUAAAGUUCACAAUAUUUAGGAUCUCAACAGCAGAUGAAGAAUUGUGGCUGGCUAAAUGAAGAUAAUGUCCAGAUACGAAUGGGAUUGCCAAAGUAUUGUAGCAACGCCCUUAUAAUUGGUUGAAAAUGACUUUACAAAUGAUAUUUUUUUUGUAGUUUUUAGUUCCUUACAAUACUCGCUCAAUUAUAAUAAUGCUUAUUGAGGAAAGCAGAAAGCAAAGGCUUUCAUGGGGAACAACUCAGACAUCAACAAUACAACCUAUGUUUACGAUCAGUUGAACUUAAAAAUUAACUUAUAAUCUUGAAGCUACUUACGUAAUGAAAUUAUGUUUCUUAUGCGUUUGAUAUGAAAGAGAAAAUGAAAGAGGUGAGACGAGGUGUUUCAACAA